GGUGAGUAACACGNGGGCAACCUGCCUGUAAGAUCGGGAUAACUCCGGGAAACCGGGGCUAAUACCGGAUAAUACUUCUUCUCGCGUGGGGAGAAGCNGAAAGAUGGCUUCGGCUAUCGCUUACAGAUGGGCCCGCGGCGCAUUAGCUAGUUGGUAGGGUAACGGCCUACCAAGGCAACGAUGCGUAGCCGACCUGAGAGGGUGAUCGGCCACACUGGGACUGAGACACGGCCCAGACUCCUACGGGAGGCAGCAGUAGGGAAUCUUCCGCAAUGGACGAAAGUCUGACGGAGCAACGCCGCGUGAGUGAUGAAGGUUUUCGGAUCGUAAAACUCUGUUGUGAGGGAAGAACAAGUACCGUUCGAAGAGGGCGGUACCGUGACGGUACCUCACCAGAAAGCCCCGGCUAACUACGUGCCAGCAGCCGCGGUAAUACGUAGGGGGCAAGCGUUGUCCGGAAUUAUUGGGCGUAAAGCGCGCGCAGGCGGUCUUUUAAGUCUGAUGUGAAAUCUCGCGGCUCANCCGCGAGCGGUCAUUGGAAACUGGAGGACUUGAGUGCAGAAGANGAGAGUGGAAUUCCACGUGUAGCGGUGAAAUGCGUAGAGAUGUGGAGGAACACCAGUGGCGAANGCNACUCUCUGGUCUGUAACUGACGCUGANGUGCGAAAGCGUGGGGAGCGAACAGGAUUANAUACCCUGGUNNUCCACGCC
rnacentral:rRNA from 1 species